rnacentral:rRNA from 1 species
UGGGGAAUUUUGGACAAUGGGGGCAACCCUGAUCCAGCAAUGCCGCGUGAGUGAAGAAGGCCUUCGGGUUGUAAAGCUCUUUUGUCAGGGAAGAAACACCGGCUCUAACACAGUCCGGGAAUGACGGUACCUGAAGAAUAAGCACCGGCUAACUACGUGCCAGCAGCCGCGGUAAUACGGAAGGUGCAAGCGUUAGUCGGAAUUACUGGGCGUAAAGGGUGCGUAGGCGGGGAUGAACGUCAGACGUGAAAUUUCGGGGCUUAACCCCGAAGCGGCUUCUGAAACGGCAUCUCUUGAGGAAUGGCGGAGAGAAUGGAAUUCCAUGUGUAGCGGUGAAAUGCGUAGAUAUAUGGAAGAACACCGGUGGCGAAAGCGAUUCUCUAGCCUCCUCCUGACGCUGAGGCACGAGAGCAAGGGGAGCAAACAGG